rnacentral:piRNA from 1 species
UACAUGAAGGAAAGGCUGCACAUGUGA